rnacentral:rRNA from 1 species
GUGGGGAAUAUUGGGCAAUGGUCGCAAGACUGACCCAGCCAUGCCGCGUGCAGGAAGACGGCCCUAUGGGUUGUAAACUGCUUUUAUCAGGGAAGAAACCCUUCUAUGCGUAGGAGGCUGACGGUACCUGAGGAAUAAGGAUCGGCUAACUCCGUGCCAGCAGCCGCGGUAAUACGGAGGAUCCGAGCGUUGUCCGGAUUUAUUGGGUUUAAAGGGUGCGUAGGCGGACUAAUAAGUCAGGGGUGAAAGCCGGUAGCUUAACUAUCGCAUAGCCGUUGAAACUGCUAGUCUUGAAUACUGGUGAGGUAGGCAGAAUGUAUCAUGUAGCGGUGAAAUGCAUAGAUAUGAUACAGAACACCGAUUGCGAAGGCAGCUUACUAAGCAGUGAUUGACGCUGAGGCACGAAAGCGUGGGGAUCAAACAGGAUUAGAUACCCUUGUAGUCC